GACGAACGCUGGCGGCGUGCUUAACACAUGCAAGUCGAACGGUGAAGCGCCUUCCUUUUUGGUGGGUGUGGAUGAGUGGCGAACGGGUGAGUAACACGUGAGUAACCUGCCCCCUUCUUCUGGAUAACCGCAUGAAAGUGUGGCUAAUACGGGAUAUUCUGGGUCUGUCGCAUGAUGGGUCUGGGAAAGAUAUUGUUUCGGUGGGGGAUGGGCUCGCGGCCUAUCAGCUUGUUGGUGGGGUGAUGGCCUACCAAGGCGGUGACGGGUAGCCGGCCUGAGAGGGUGGACGGUCACACUGGGACUGAGACACGGCCCAGACUCCUACGGGAGGCAGCAGUGGGGAAUAUUGCACAAUGGGCGCAAGCCUGAUGCAGCGACGCCGCGUGAGGGAUGGAGGCCUGCGGGUUGUGAACCUCUUUCGCCAGUGAAGCAGGCCUGCCUCGUCUGUGGGUGGGUUGACGGUAGCUGGAGAAGAAGCGCCGGCUAACUACGUG
rnacentral:rRNA from 1 species